UAAACAACCUGCCUUCAGGAUGGUGACAACAGACGGAAACGACUGCUAAUACCGAAUACGUUCCACGGGCCGCAUGACCUGUGGAAGAAAGGGUAGCCUCUACCUGUAAGCUAUCGCCUGAAGAGGUGUUUGCGUCUGAUUAGGCAGUUGGUGGGGUAACGGCCCACCAAACCAACGAUCAGUAGCCGGUCUGAGAGGAUGAACGGCCACACUGGAACUGAGACACGGUCCAG
rnacentral:rRNA from 1 species